rnacentral:rRNA from 1 species
UGGGGAAUAUUGCACAAUGGAGGCAACUCUGAUGCAGCGACGCCGCGUGAGUGAAGAAGUAUUUCGGUAUGUAAAGCUCUAUCAGUAGGGAAGAUAAUGACGGUACCUACAGAAGAAGCCCCGGCUAAAUACGUGCCAGCAGCCGCGGUAAUACGUAUGGGGCAAGCGUUAUCCGGAUUUACUGGGUGUAAAGGGAGUGUAGGCGGCAGUACAAGUCAGGAGUGAAACUUGGGGCUCAACCCCAAGACUGCUUUUGAAACUGUACAGCUAGAGUGUAGGAAGGGCAAGCGGAAUUCCUGGUGUAGCGGUGAAAUGCGUAGAUAUCAGGAAGAACACCGGUGGCGAAGGCGGCUUGCUGGACUAUAACUGACGCUGAGACUCGAAAGCGUGGGGAGCGAACAGGAUUAGAUACCCUGGUAGU